rnacentral:rRNA from 1 species
UAGGGAAUCUUCGGCAAUGGACGAAAGUCUGACCGAGCAACGCCGCGUGAGUGAAGAAGGUUUUCGGAUCGUAAAACUCUGUUGUUAGAGAAGAACAAGGACGUUAGUAACUGAACGUCCCCUGACGGUAUCUAACCAGAAAGCCACGGCUAACUACGUGCCAGCAGCCGCGGUAAUACGUAGGUGGCAAGCGUUGUCCGGAUUUAUUGGGCGUAAAGCGAGCGCAGGCGGUUUCUUAAGUCUGAUGUGAAAGCCCCCGGCUCAACCGGGGAGGGUCAUUGGAAACUGGGGGACUUGAGUGCAGAAGAGGAGAGUGGAAUUCCGUGUGUAGCGGUGAAAUGCGUAGAUAUAUGGAGGAACACCAGUGGCGGAGGCGGCUCUCUGGUCUGUAACUGACGCUGAGGCUAGAAAGCGUGGGGAGCAAACAGG